rnacentral:rRNA from 1 species
UGGGGAAUAUUGCACAAUGGGCGAAAGCCUGAUGCAGCAACGCCGCGUGAAGGAUGAAGGCCUUUGGGUCGUAAACUUCUGUCCUUGGGGAAGAAAAAAAUGACGGUACCCCUGGAGGAAGUCCCGGCUAACUACGUGCCAGCAGCCGCGGUAAUACGUAGGGGGCGAGCGUUAUCCGGAAUUAUUGGGCGUAAAGAGUACGUAGGUGGUUUUUUAAGCGCAGGGUUUAAGGCGAUGGCUCAACUGUCGUUCGCCCUGUGAACUGCAAGACUUGAGUAUGGGAGAGGAGAGCGGAAUUCCUGGUGUAGAGGUGAAAUUCGUAGAUAUCAGGAGGAACACCGGUGGCGAAGGCGGCUCUCUGGACCAAUACUGACGCUGAGGCACGAAGGCGUGGGGAGCAAACA